rnacentral:rRNA from 1 species
UGGGAAACAUGGUGUCAUAGAGGGUGAGAAUCCCGUAUGUGACUGUGACUCGAGCCCAURUGAAACCUYUUUCGACGAGUCGAGUUGUUUUGGGAAUGCAGCUCKAAAAUGGGUGGUAAAUUUCAUCUAAAGCUAAAUACUGGCUGGAGGACCCGAUAGCGCACAAGUAGAGUGAUCGAAAGAUGAAAAGCACUUUGGAAAGAGAGUCAAACAGUACGUGAAAUUGUUGAAAGGGAAGCGCUUGCAACCAGACCUGCCCGCAGGCGAUCAGCCGCUGUUUUCAGUGGUGCACUCGCUCUGCGAUCAGGCCAGCAUCGGUUCCGGCGGCCGGAUAAAGGCCUUGGGAAUGUAGCUUCCUUUCGGGGGAGUCUUAUAGCCCUCGGUGCAAUGCGACCAGCCGGGACCGAGGACCGCGCUUCGGCUAGGAUGCUGGCGUAAUGGUUGUAAGCGACCCGUCUUGAAACACGGACCAAGGAGUCUAACAUUUAUGCGAGUGUUUGGGUGUUAAACCCAUACGCGGAAUGAAAGUGAACGGAGGUGAGAACCCUUAAGGGCGCAUCAUCGACCGAUCCUGAUGUCUUCGGAUGGAUUUGAGUAUGAGCAUAAUCUGUUGGGACCCGAAAGAUGGUGAACUAUGCCUGAAUAGGGUGAAGCCAGAGGAAACUCUGGUGGAGG